UGGGAGGUUCUGCUGCGUGACUUGUGGUAGCUACCUGACAAGUACCUCUAAGCUUUCCUGCUCUAACCCAGGGAUAAAAAUAGGCACCCCGCCCUCUUCUGCCCGUAGCCCUUGGUUUUUCCCGUAAGGCCGUUACUGUAAAGCGAGCCACAUCUUCAACCUCUACAGCAGCUCCUAAGACAGCUGCUGAGCCUCAGUGGAAGCUGCAGCCUCCUCAUCUUGGGCCCUCCUGUUGCAGUGGUAUUUUUCUGAAGAAACAGCUGAGGGCUGGAGAGAUGGCUCAGAGGUUAAGAGCACUGACUGUUCUUCUAGGGUCCUGAGUUCAAAUCCCAGCAACCACAUUGUGGCUCCCCACCCUCUGUAAUGGAAUCCAAUGCCCUCUUCUGGUGUGUCUGAAGAAAGCAAUUGUGU
rnacentral:lncRNA from 1 species